UCAAAAUAGAAUAACAACACUGUGGAAGAAUUACGUAUUACAAGAAGCUGAAUUAUUUCAUAUAGAUAUAUUAAACUUCAUUUUGAAUUCAUCUAGGGCAAACUCUUUACUUGCAACAAAUGCAUACACUUUGCUAGGAACCUUUUAUAUUUAUAAUGAAAAUUAUUCGAAAUCCGUAGAAUUGUUUUCAAAAGCAUUGGAAAUCAAACAAAUAAUUUUAGGUAGAAACCAUCGAGAAGUUGCUCUAUCCAAUUGGGUGAUUUGUUCUUAAAUUACUUACAUAACUUUCAACAGGCUGAAGAAUUUUUAUUGCAAUCAAUAAACAUUUAUGAAAAUAUCAGUGAUCCUUCAUAUGAAGAGUUUCUGAUAAAUUUAGACCAAUUGAUUAAAGCUUAUACACAACUUAACAAUGUCGAGAAGAUAAAUUAAUUCAGGGAGUAUGUAGGAAGGAUUGAGUUAUUAAGAGAGUGGUCUCUAAGGUUUGAACAUCAAACCGCUACUAUUAAUAACUGUACAAAAGACAAUUUGAAUUUGGAAAAGUUUAAGUGUAUAUUAAAUGGUUGUAGUUGUGUCCAGUAGUAAAUUUAAUUUGAAGAAUAAUUUGAAAAGUUAAGUUGAAAUAAUGUGCAUAUAUAUAUAUACUAUUAAUAAUGAUAUGUUUAAGAGAGUAUUAGUAAAAAUAAAAAUGUUAAAAGGACCUAUACCAUAUUCAAUUUCUUUAAAUUAAUAUAAUUAAUAUUGAAUAUGAAUUUAGUUAGGCUAUAUAAUAAGCAAUUUUAGUUUGUGGGAUAGUCUCUCGUGCUUAACAUUAUGUAUAAAUUUGGUAGACGAUAUAUAUGUUACGGGCAAAGUAGAAAACAUUUUGAACAAUGUAAUAAUUAGGGCUAGGGACUUCAUGCCCUAAAAAAUCUUAAAAUAUGCAUGUAUUCAUAUGGCAUAAUGAAUCAUUAGAUAUGCGUUUAAAUAAAGUAUAUUUGUAAUAAUUAGAUUAAUUUGAUUAAUUCUGUGAUAAUUAUUUUCUUUUUUUUCAGAUUUAUUUUCAUCUUAUAUUGUGUUUUAGUCUAAAACAAACAUUUUUAAAGUUUUUUAAAUCUUAAAUUGAAUACAUUUGUAUAUUUUUAAUAUAGUACUAAUUACCUUCAGCAAUACAUUGAACUAUUAGAUAUUUUCUUAAGUUGGGAAUUAAAAACUUACCCCACCCCUUCAUAUAAAUAAUUGUCAAAUAUGUCACUUAUAAAUGAAAAAUAUUCAAAUAUGCAAAAUAUGCAACUAUAAAUUUUAAAUAUAAACUCGUAUUGCUAUGAAACAAAUUUCUGUAUUACUUAGCUAUGUUUUUAAUGAUUAUUUAAAAACAUGCUAACUCCUAGAGGUCCGGAGCCCUAAUAAUAAUGAUCAUUUUAAUACUCAAAUUGUUCAUACAUUUAAACCGAUAAUAUGAACCUACCCGUAAUCUUAACGAUAAAGUGGAGUAUAUUGCGCGAACAUUAUUGCUAUUCAUGAUAGGAAAAGGCCAAAGAGGUGUUUAUCCAGGCUUAUGAGGUACUACCAGUACAAAUUUCUUUAAGAGAUGAAGUGGCAAGAAAACUUCUAAAUUGGGUGAUCAAGAGUACUAGGAAUACUAGGAAAAAAAAUAGGUACUAAAAAAAAUAAAGGUGAAAAAUAUAAAAUAUAGGUGUACUUGGAAUAUAUAAUGUAAGACCAACUGGUGUAAAUGUAAAAAAUAUGGUCGACUGCAACUCAAAGUGGCAUAAUACAAUAGUGGUGUAUGUAGUAAUAUAUAUAUUAAGUAAAAUAAUGCUAUCUCUAUGUGUUUAACAUUAUUUUUUAGUAAUAAUUUACUAAAAUGAUUAUAAUUUUAUAAUAAUAAGUAUUCAUUUUAAUCAUGUCAAAUUGUCAAACCACUUUUAGAUAGUAAUAACCUAACUGGAUACUAAUUGAUUUAAAAACUAAUAUUUGAACCGUCUAUUUUAGGUUUUUUUAUGAUUAUUUAAGUACCCUGUAAGAUGUUUUAUUUAACUUUCAACAUAUUCAAUAUUUAACCUACAGUGCUCAAAUCAAAUUGAGAACCGUAUACAAUGUCUAGACAAUGUUAAAUUAUUCCAACUUUGCCCUUGAAAAUCGGGCAUUGUGCACAGUGACCAGGCACUGUGCACAAUAUCCGACUUCCUACUAUGCCCGUAACAUAUAUAUCGACAGUAUUUUGUAAAAAAUGCGUAUAUUAUAUUAAAUGUGAUCUUUUUAACAUUUUUAUUUCUACUAAUUCUAUUUUAAACAAAUCAUUUGAACAAUUAAUAAUAAAAACUAAAAAAGAAUUAGUUACAUAUUGCUUUUAACAAGUUAAAUUAGAUUAUUUUACACAUUCAAUUCAAUUAUAGUUUAGUUACAUUUUAUUAACUUUGUAUGAAUUAAAACUAACUAGUUUAGUUAGAAAGUUACUUAAAAAGUAACUUAACUAUAAAUGAACUACAUUUUUUUGCAAGUCAAAACUACUGUACAAAAACCCAUUAAGGUUAAAAUAACAAUAAUUAACUUUCAACACACUAAAAGCCGUAGUUGUCACUCGUCACUCUCUGUAGUUGAGGUCCGUAAUUGUUCGUAUUCUAAAAAUAUUGGGUGUGAAAUGUCUGAUAUUGGUUAAACUGUUGGGUUUCUAAUGUUUUUUUAUAACAUAAUAUUUAAUAUUAUUCUUAUAAUAGUUUUAGAAAAUAUGUUUUUUUUGUCAACGUUUUUUAUAUUUAUCCCAUAGUAAUAAUUUAUUAAGCUUCAUGUUAAUUUAAGUGUUUUUUUUCUACUGAAUAAUGUAAAAAUUAAAUUUGGUGUUGUAUUUUUUAAA